rnacentral:ncRNA from 2 species
CCGGUCUUGUCGGAGUGCCCAGUUGAAUGGGCUGAGAUCGCGAAAGCGGGAUCCGUGGAACCUGAACCGGUUAGUACCGGCGUAGGAAAACAAGCAACGCCCCCAU